rnacentral:hammerhead_ribozyme from 1 species
AUCCAUCUGACGAGUCCCAAAUAGGACGAAAUGCGCUUUAUCCUGGAU